AUUGAACGCUGGCGGCAGGCCUUACACAUGCAAGUCGAACGAGUGGCGGACGGGUGAGUAAUGUCUGGGAAACUGCCUGAUGGAGGGGGAUAACUCCUGGAAACAGUAGCUAAUACCGCAUACCAUCGGAUGUGCCCAGAUGGGAUUAGCUCAUUGGUGGGGUCACGGCUCACCAAGGCGACGAUCCCUAGCUGGUCUGAGAGGAUGACCAGCAACACUGGAACUGAUACACGGUCAAGACUCCGACGGGAGGCAGAAGUGGGGAAUAUGGGACAAUGGGGGCAAGCCUGAUGCAGCCAUGCCGCGUGUAUGAAGAAGGCCUUCGGGUUGUAAAGUACUUUCAGCGGGGAGGCGUUACCCGCAGAAGAAGCACCGGCUAACUCCGUGCCAGCCGACGCGGUAAUAC
rnacentral:rRNA from 1 species